UACGUAGGGUGCAAGCGUUGUCCGGAAUUAUUGGGCGUAAAGAGCUCGUAGGCGGUUUGUCGCGUCUGCCGUGAAAGUCCGGGGCUCAACUCCGGAUCUGCGGUGGGUACGGGCAGACUAGAGUGAUGUAGGGGAGACUGGAAUUCCUGGUGUAGCGGUGAAAUGCGCAGAUAUCAGGAGGAGCACCGAUGGCGAAGGCAGGUCUCUGGGCAUUAACUGACGCUGAGGAGCGAAAGCAUGGGGAGCGAACAGG
rnacentral:rRNA from 1 species